rnacentral:lncRNA from 1 species
UGCAGACAUUUGAAAGCGUAAAGGGAGGGUGGAGGAUGUCUUUUUUUCUCUCUCUCUCCCUCCUCUCUCUCUCUCUCUCUCCUCUCUCUCUCUCUCUCUCUCUUUCCCUCUCCUGAAUUAUUCAUAGUGUCAGUGGUGAAGCCAGGACUAUUAGCAUGCAUCAGACAUGCUGUUUGUCUGUUUGCUAACAUUCUUCAUUCAAGACUUGUUAACUACCAGACAAGCUUAACACGCUUCUCUUUUUUCCCCUCCCCUUCCCUCUCCCUGUGUCUCUGUCUCUGCGCGCCUGCCUCCCCUCAUUUCUGCCUUCCCUUGCCUUGCCUUUCAUGCCACCCCUCUCAGCCUCCCAUUGUUGUUGCCGAGAGCUGGCAGCCAGGGGUGGCGGUGGCAGGGGAAGCAUGCGGACGAGGAGCCGGAGCCCGGUUGCUAGCAUACUAGCCUGGAUGCAAUCUCCCUGUAAGGAGUGUGAAAUGUACAGCUGCAAAACUACAGUUUUAAGCAAAAAAAAAGCUCUUCCUCAUCUGAACCAUCAUUCAAAACACAAGAUGAAAGUAGCUGAAGAAAAGUUGUUUAUGAUAUCAUCUGCAGGACUCCUAGAAAAUUCUUUGGAAACUUGGGCAUGUCUGUCUCAGGCUGCCCCUAAAAGAAAUGAAGUAUUAAUCUGGCAAGAUGAAAUCAAGAUGCACAAAGAGAAGAUAUUAGAGACUAUUCUGCAAGGUGUUCAGGACAACCGCCUGCAGUUUCAGAGAAGAAGCACAUAACAUGACAUGAAGAAAAUGAAAACAUAUUUAAAUAGAAUGUCUCCAGAUUCACUGAUAACAUGCAAACUGGAGUCUGCUUGCCGUUGUCUGUUUGAGAUAUGACAUCACAGCUAACAAGGGAGACUAAGAAGUAAUGUGACUCCAGACAAGUAUUUUGGGUAGAUCACUUGUGUCAGCUGAGAAGUUGAAAAAUGAUUUUUCACUUGGAACAGAGAUUUGUUACUGCUCCUUUGUAGUUAAGGCAUGCUUUAGGAAGCACUGAGUAAAAAAUUAGUGGGUUGUUUGCAUUUUGGAAAAUGUUCAUACUUUCAGAAGGCAAGGGAAUCAAAACCAGCACAUUCCUGGAGGGUACAUUUAGUUAGGACAUGCUGGUAUAGGCUAAACUUUUGGAAAGCUUUGCAGUCCAUCAGCAUUGCGUUCUAGUUUUGGUGGAGUGUAACACACUGCUCUUUGUAACUGUGCAGCUUCCACAUUCUUUCAGACUUAAUUAUUUGCAUGUUGCAGUUGCAUCCUUCUCAGUAAGCUUACAUUCAGCAGCGUGUCAGAAAAAAAGAUUUGCAUAUUUGGACUUCAUUGAAUAACAUACCUGUUUGAGGAGUCUCAGUGCCUUCAGAACCAUGUAUUGGUUACUAUCCAGCAUAAUCUAAAUAAAACAAGUCCCACAACACA